rnacentral:rRNA from 1 species
AGAACGAACGCUGGCGGCAUGCCUAAUACAUGCAAGUCGAACGAACUCUUCGGAGCUAGUGGCGCACGGGUGCGUAACGCGUGGGAAUCUGCCCCUUGGUUCGGAAUAACAGUUGGAAACGACUGCUAAUACCGGAUGAUGACGAAAGUCCAAAGAUUUAUCGCCAAGGGAUGAGCCCGCGUAGGAUUAGCUAGUUGGUGAGGUAAAGGCUCACCAAGGCAACGAUCCUUAGCUGGUCUGAGAGGAUGAUCAGCCACACUGGGACUGAGACACGGCCCAGACUCCUACGGGAGGCAGCAGUAGGGAAUAUUGGACAAUGGGCGAAAGCCUGAUCCAGCAAUGCCGCGUGAGUGAUGAAGGCCUUAGGGUUGUAAAGCUCUUUACCCGAGAUGAUAAUGACAGUAUCGGAGAAUAAGCCCCGGAUAACUCCGUGCCAGCAGCCGC